UGAGAUCAUGACCUAAGCCAAAGGCAGAGGCUUUUACCCACUGAGCCACCCAGGCACCCCAUGAUGAUAUUUUUCUUAACUAAGUUUAAUUUACAGGCUAAGCUGGGUUCUCACCCCCGAAUUCCUCCCUUUGCUCUGGUUUUCCCAACAACUAUGAACAACUUAAAGUACCUUCAAAUUCUUUGACUCUAAAAUAAUCACACUCGCUCCCACAGGUAAUCCUACUUCAUCGCAAACUCUGCUCACUUUGCUCUGUGCACUUGCAGGAGGUUGUCUGAUGUAGGCCUACCAUCUACCUACUUUCAGCAAUAUCGGAAGGGGCACAUAUACUGCUCAGUGGGGAAGGGUCUGUCCUGGGAGCUCCACCCAUUCUGCAGGGACUGGGCAGGGACAAAGGUUCAGGCCCCUAGGGCUUUGAUGCACAGGGCCCAGGGGUCCAGAGGUGUAGGUCAAUGCUGCUUCCCAUGUGCAGCUUCCAAGUGGAUUCGGGUCUCCACACGCCUCUGCUGUCUCUGUAGUUGUCCUUUUUCCAUCUCCUGGUUCUUCUGACUUUGCAACAUUUCUUCACAUACCUCAGCACAUGUCCACUACCUUCCAUUUUCUCAGACUACAGAUUAAAUUUGCAUGAGGUAUGCAUGUGUUUGCACCUAAAAGUCCUAAUAACUUCCCACUUUACCUCGAAACAUCUCAAACUGUUCCUCCAUACAGGAGAAAUAAAGGAAAUUUCUGUUCUUGGAAUCACAUGGAUAACUAAACCCCUACUCCUCCUUGUUAACAUAAUAUCCUUACUACAAUAAUAUUCAGGUACAGGCAUGAUGUCAAUUUCUAGGCAAUUUUAGCACUCAGGCCAAAGUAUCCUCCCCGCACAGAUACUCCACAAUGAUAGUAUCACCCUCCUCUACCCCAAACUGCAUCUAAUCUAGCCACUUAUUCUACAGCCUGCAUUACAUGUUUUAAAUUGCUGUACCUGAGAGAGGAGGCAGUAACCGUGGGGAAGACUGGUGAUGGGGUCUGACUCUAGCGACCUCCUGCCAUUAGCCAAGGCCAUCUGGCAUAAAGUGACCAGGAAUCUUCUCCCUCAAUAACAGCUUAUAUCCCAUGGGUGAUUCCUUUACAGGGCUUUGUCCUGGCCAAAGGGACACAACAGAUGAAAGGAAAGCUGCUCUUGGAUCCCAUGCAGCUACCCAGUUCUACGGGGAUCUACAGCUAAAAUCUACCUCUUUAAUCUGAGUCACAGUGAUGCCAGGGAGUCACCUGUGAAAAUUCCACGGAAAAGGCCCUUUUCAGACGCUUUCCAGCCAUACCCCUGUACUGAUGGCUACAGGAAGUUUGCGCAAACCUUCUCUCCAGGCCCUUGGGAGGCAUGAGAGCCCGGGAAGAAACGUGACUGUGCAGUGUCAUGGGCCAGACAGUAUGCUCGAAGAUGUAAUGUUUGUUCUCCUGAAAACAAGUACCAGAAAGCGUGGAUAGCACCAGCGACUUGAAGGACAAAGAAGACUUCUCCCUUAGGAACGUGACAGUCAAUGACACUGGAAACUACAGCUGCGUCUACUACCAAAGGCUCCUUUCUUGGCCUCAGACCCCAGUAAGCGCCUUGAAAUCUUGGAAACACCACUCUGAGCAAUGUCAAGUACCCUCGGGAAGGGACUCAGACCCGCGGGGAUAACGAGGGCCUGCAGCCUGAGAGCCGAGGGCUACUGCUCACGGUCGCACAGAGAAGAAGCGGCACAGUCAUCAUUCAGACCCAGGCCUGUCUGGCUCCAGAGUCCCUGCUGUCUCUGGCCGGCCACAGUGGGACAUUAAGAGGAAUGCGUGUAUGGGGUCUUCAGAGUGCAAAUGUCCUCAGACGGAGUGUACAGACGGGCAGUGGCUCAUCUGCGGAGGUGACACAGGAGUGGGUCACACAAGCGUAGGGAGGCUCUCAGGAUGUCUGGCCUCUCAGGUCUGUCCGUAGGCACCAAAGAAGCCUGGUGUCCCCAAGGCGGGUGGGUGUGAUCACCAGGCAGUGGUCACCAUGGCCUAGCUCUGUCUUCACCACGUUCCUCUGAUCCCGAUACUCCAGACUAGAUCGAAGAGCCCCGUCUUGGGAAGGUGAGCGGGAUCCACACUGAAGCCGCCCACCUGUGUUUCCAGGAGAGGAGGAAUCAGGUGUGCACCUUGCAGCCUCCACGCCUGCACAUGCUGGUCGAGUGACUCUGAAAUACAUCUGUGGUGCUGGGGCUUGGUUUCCUUAUCCACACAGUGAGGGCAACAACGACCGCCUGCAGGCCCACCGCAGUGACUAGAGGCUGUGCAGGCACAGGAAGAUUACUGUUACUUCCAUGGCGGAAGGAAUCCUGCCAUCCCCCUCCCUGGCUCAGGCGCUAUUUCUGCUGGAAAUCCCCCACAGAGAGCUGUCCAUCAUCGGUGACAUGCAGAGCUGACACGCGACGCCAGUCAGACAAGAAGCCAGGUGAUCCAGAGCGUGUCCAGCCAACAUGUUCUUCCAGCCAUGCUGGCUGAAGCCCUCAAGCCUCAGAGGGACACCCAACUCGGGAUGCAGUGGAGGGUCCCGGGGCCCCUCAGCAGUGUCUACAGGGGUGCGUGAGGGUGUUGAGCAGGCAGGAACUGAAGAGGUCUGGAGGUUUCCAAACGCUGCGUGGUGCUCAGCCGGGAGACGGCAGGUCAAGGGCACCGAGUUCCAGUGGGAAUCACUCAGCACGCGCUUCAUGAUGCUGAGACUCCUUCCUUAACCAAGACGAACUGGACCCUCGGUCCUCAAUCCGUCCUCUGCCCUGAUCCUCCACAUCUCUCGGCCGCCACUCUGGUGUCCACCACCCUGUCCGCUCCCUUUGCUCCAUCCAUACUGUGAGCCCUCCACCCUCACACAGCUACAGCCAGAGCAGCACACCCACCCCCACAGCACGGUCACUGCAACGGGGACCGGUCCACCUUGGGGCUCCACCUGUCUGCAGGCACUGGGCAGGAGGGACAGGGGCCCAGGCCCCAGGGCUCUGGCUCACAGAGGCCAGGCUGUCCGGCUGGGGUCCUGCUUCGUGCCGAAUGUGUCUUCCCCACGCCUGCUUGCCCGAACUCACAGACUUGCCGGCAUGUGUGCUCUUGGGAGCUGGGAGCUCCCUGAGAUGUCAUCACUUUACAUUCCUUCUCCAGGAACUUCGAGUUCUCCGUUUCCUUGGAGUCCAUCCCUGGAAAGUUCCCACAUUCCCUGAUGGUGUUGCUUGCUUCCUCAGGUUUCUUCCAGCGGGGCUGUGCCGGGACACCUCUCCCGGCCUCUCUGGGCUGGCACAGGUGGGCUCUCCCCUGAAGGCAGCUGUGGGGUGUCUGAGGUGUGGGUGAUGGCAGGUCUCUCACAGGACUGGGUCUCGGGGCCUCCAGCCGGGGAGGGGGACGCAGCAGCUGCACAGGCCCUGGGAGGACAGGGCACGUCAGCAGCUGAGGCUCCUGGGGCAGGUCCCUGCCGCAGGGACAGCCCCAGUCCCAGGGAGCCCCAGCAGCUGGGACUGUGGACCGUCAGCUGGGACUGGCCUCGGGUGAAUACUGUGGGGCUCAUGGGGGUGAGGCUUGCUGGGUUCCCCUGUGCGGUGCAACCCCUCCAAGGGGAUGUCCCCCCCGGGGCCCAGCUGCUCUGCACUGGGGGACACAGGGCUGCAGGUUGAAGGCUGCCCUCACUUCUCCAUGUGACCACACCUGCCUGUUGCACUCUCAGCACUUCUGCUGCCUCUUCGCCGCAGUCGGAGAUUCCCCAGAGCUAUUUCCGUCGUCUCUAGCUGUGUUUUGUAACCGUUCUUGUUUUUGUGGGGGACCCAAGCGUCAGGGCCCCCACAGCCCACCAUCUUGCUGAUGUCACCAUCUGCUCUGGGAGUUUCCACAGCCCCCCCGGGGAGCCCCGCGUGUAGCCAGUGUUGGAGCAUACCCCACACACAGCUGUUGUGUGGGACAGUGUUGUGUGGGACAGGGGAGAAACAUGGUCUGUUCCUGAGACCUGUUUUAGGGCGCUACACAGGGAGCUCUGUCCUGCUUGGAGAAAUAAGGGAUGAAAAUACAUAACAGAAAAGACGGGCUCAGAAACGUUCCAGCACAAAAGGCUGCGGUUGUCCUCACUAGCUCCUUCCCCCGAGAGGACAUGCUGCACCUUCCCACCACAUGGAGGUGGGUGAUGACGGUGUCACCCUGGCACCGGGAGGGAGGAACAAGGGCAGUUGUUAUAAGUUUGCACUGUCUGAAUGAACAGACCAUCUACUGGGUGGAGACUUCUAGAUGGUGCCAAGAACACAGUGAGAUGAACGGACAAUGUCACCUCUAAGAAGAUUAUGACUGAGUCGAGGACCCAGCAUCACUCGGAUUCAAAAUGGAGCCAGCGUCUAUCUGGAAAGUUCUGGCAUUUUCUGCUGAGGAUUAGGACAGGACUGAAACAGCCCUAUGACUUUGCAUCUUCUACCAUCUUCAUAAAGUCUGAGCUGUGCUUACCCGGGCACCUCGCCAGCCGGUCAGUGUGUGCUCACGGGGGUCCUACUGUGGGCCAGGGCCUGUGUGGACACUGGGCAUGCUGAGGGGAAGAACACAGGGUCCCAGCCCUCCAGCUGCUCACACAGAGUGAUUAUCUUCUGUCUCCUGUGGCAUGAGGUGCAGACUUUUACAAACUCGAAGAUUUUAUGACCCACUCGCUUCUGCCUUCAUUAUGGGGGACACUUUCAUUGCAGAGCAGACUGUCUGGGGGCUUCCAGGCCCACCGAGGCUCUGCAUAUCAGCAGGAGUUAAGCUGGUUCGACAGUCUCCUGCACGGUCCUGCCUUCUUCCCUGGGGGAUGGGGAGUCAAGGAAAUUGACUCUAGCAGCAAACGCUAAGAAUAAGGGUCCUUUGACAGAGGGUGUGCAUGGAAGAAGGGCUUGUGGACAUCUGGGGAACCAGGACAGGUCCUGGGGCCGUGGGAGGAGCGAGCUGCACAGGAGACCUUCUGGGAGAAGCGAGGAAGGAGCCGAGAGCAGAGCUGGAGCCACAGGCCAGUGUGGGGAAAUGAGAAGCCCCAGAGGCCUGACCUCCAGGGUCCCUUCUCAGCGGCAGCCCCCGGGAGGCCCCAUGGGAUGGGCUCUAGGCGGGUGCACGUGGCUCAUGGACAGUUCUCUUGCAGGGCUGUGUGCUGGCCGAGGAAGCAGGGGGACCGACGGGACGCUCCCCAAGCCCUUCCUCAGCACCUGGCCCAGCUUUCUGGCACCUGCCGAGGAUGACCCUGUGAUGCUGGACUGCUAUCAGGAAUGCAGAGUUCACUCUCAGCAAGGGAGAAUCCCGCUGCCCUCUGAGUCCAUGAUGUCCAUGGGCCAUUCAGGAAGGAUGGCUGAAGUCCCCCUCGUUAACCUGAGUCAGCCAGACUCGGGGAAAUACGCCUGCAAAUACUGCCAGAGAGAGGGCCCGCGCCAGUGCUCCCCAGCCACAGACGUCCUUCUCGUGGUUCCAGGUGGGAAGGAAGCAUCCCAGAAAGAUCUGGUCUGACCCAUCCGGCCCUCCCACAUCAGAGGAUGAAGAGGGACUCAGAGGAGAGGACAGAAGUUUACCUAAACCUUCCUUCCUGACUCAGAGAGGCUGAUGGUGACACCAGGAGAGAACGUGACUCUUCAGUGCCAGGAGACAGACCUCAUGAUGGCAUCUGUCACGUUUGCUCUGCUGAAGCCAGGUGCUCCUGAGCCUGCUGACGUCCGAAGACCAUCGGGAACAUGGCUCACCUCGCCCUCGGGACUGUGCGAGCCAGGGACGGUGGCAGCUACUGUCUACUAUCAAGCCGAGGCUCCUUUCUGGGCCUCACGGCCCAGCAACAGCUUAAAACUGUAGGUGAGAGGUAAAGGGAGGACGAAUUUAUAAUUAAAUAACCCUAACCCCUCACUGUUGUGCCCUGUAUCCUUGCCAUGGUCAUUUCCCUUACGCAAACACAGACGCAGACAGAAGCAGACACAGUCGGAUACAAUGUUGCUCUGGACGUUCAGGUUACUUGCUGGAUCACUGAAGAACAGGAAAAAAUGAAACUUCUCACUUUUACCUUCCCUUAUUCCUCCUCUGAUACCUUGCCCUUCUCCACGCAGACCCAAGUUUCUGAUUCACAUCACCUUCCCUUCGCUGAAGAACUUCUGGUAACACUCCGUGCGAGGCAGGUGUACCAGCAACAAAUUCCCUCAGUUUCUGUCGGUCUGAGGAAGGCUUUACUGCUUCACUUUGAAGGACAAUGUCUCAGGGUCCAGGCUGUUAGAUCAGCAUUUUAUUUCUCUCAACACGCUGACAUCUCACAGCACCGUCUUCCCAGGUGGUUCCCAGGGAGUCGGAUGCGAGCCUCACUGUCGCUCCUGUACAGCCGAGCCCUCUCCUCUCGCUUCCUUCAGGAUUCCCUCUGACUUUCUACCUUGAAAGGGUAUGCACAGAGGUAGUUUCUCGGGCUUUAUUUCUGAUGUUUAUCCUCCUUGCUGUUCUCUCAGUUUCUUGGAUUGCGGUUUUGUGUCUGACAUUAAUUUGGAGAAAAUUCAGCUGUCAUUUCUCUUAUCUCUUGUGUUUCUCCCUCUCUGCUCAUGUUGGUACCUAUGACGUGCGGGUCACACCAUCGUCCACAGCCCUUGGACCCUCCAUUCUGGGUUCUUCCAGGCUGGUUUCUGCUUGCUUCCCCGGUUCGGAGGCUUCUGCUGGCGACUCCUCAGGCACCGAUUUCCUCCCUCAGCCGUGCCCAUCGAGGCAUUCUUGUUUCUGUCACAGUGUUUCUGGUCUCCAGAGCUUCUUUUGGAGUCUUUCUCGGGAUUUCCACCUGCUUGCUUACACCGCCCAUCUGUUCCUGCCUGCUGUCUGCUUUACCUGGGGCAGCCCCAGCAUGUGAAUCAGGGUGGUUUUAAGCUCCUGAGAUGAUCCUUCCAACAUUUCCGCCGGAUCUGCAUCUGGUUCUGCUGCUGCUGUGUCUCUUCCAACCGCUUGUUUGGCUUUUGGUACACCCUGUCCUUCGCUCCUGAUGGCCAGCCACAACGCGCCAGGCAAAGGAACUGCUGGAAACUGGCCUUUAGUGACCUGGUCCUGAGGGGCUGGGAGCCUUCUAGGGUCCUGGGAUCAUGGCUCUGGCUUGCAGGAACCUGUGCCCCUGGGCUGUGACCCUCACAGGGCUUCUCAGUCCCCCUGCUGUGGUGGGACACGGUGGCCAGAGCUGGCUAGGGUUGGGUGUUUCUCUCCUUCCAGGUCACUUAGGCUCUGAUCAGACCCCAGGAGGCUAGGCUCAGUAUUUCUUUCUUUUCUGUGUAGUAUUACAUGUAAUAGAACUCUGCUUUAUUUCAAAGUAGAUUUUCCCCUCUCCCCGCCAGAAGCAGAGGGGGAUUUUUCUUGGCUCUUCACCAGAAGAACCUGACAGAGCUCCAGGAGGUGAAACUCCCAGACCCCAUGCCCGGGUCCCUGUGACCAGCUUCCCAGAGUUCCUAACUUGCAGACUUGUCCAAGCCAAGUAUCCCUACCUGGCACGGGUUCCCACGGAGGUUUCGGCUUGUGGGAUCUUGCUCGGCAAACUGUGAUUCUCUGGACUCCCAGGUUGGCUUCUGAGAGCCCCGCAGAGGGCUGCUCUGUGACCUCAUUGCCAUUUCAGAUCUAACAAGAGUUAGAGACUUCUCAGUCUGUUCUGCUUUUUACUCUGUUACCGUGGAGUGACGACUUCCAUGCUCAACCAGAAACCGGAAGCCAAGACCUCUGUCAUCUCGAUCUGGGUAGUCAGGGACUCCGUCUUGCUUAGGGACCAGGGCCUCCAUCAUCAGAGAGGACACACACAAGAGCACUGUCUCUUCAGUCCAUUGUUCUCAGCACCACGCUGGGAGAACAGAGGCCCUGGGAGCCAGCACGAGCUGAGACACACUGGAAGGGACCCUUGCGCACAGAGUGGGAGGCAGGACAGUGACUUUCUCCCCCACAUGACCCAACCUGUGACUAGUAGCAAUCUCUGCCUUUGGGGGUUUGAGGAUUUCCCCUUUCACCAUCCAUUCUCCUCCAUGCAUUAUUUGUUCCCCGUCAUGAUGCAGCACACGCAGAGCAGACCUCUUCUUUGGCCCUUGCCAAUGUACAUUUUACAUAUUUUUAAUUGAUUAUGAAUUUUAAGAAAGCAUUGUCCUAGAGGCCAUGGUAUAUAACGCAUUCUGUGUCCUGGUGCUUCUGUUUCUGUUCCCUGAUGACUCUGGAUGGCAGCUCACUGACCAGCAGGCACAAGCGGGCUCUGAACAUGACAGUCAGAGUAGGAGGGAGGGAGGGUGCUCUGCAGUCAGGGGUGAGCGCUUGUCUCUUUCCAUUUCCUCAGAUAUGGCACCAGGAAAUCACACCAAGAUUAACCUCCUCCGACUGGGUCUGGCGGCCCCCUUUCUGAUUAUUACAUCCUGGCUGAAGCCUGGCUUCCACAAGGAGCCUCUGCGCAGACCCAAACCCCACAGCUGUUGAGGGGAAUGAUGGGUGUUGAUGAAGUUGGACCCACUGACCGUGAACAGUUUCCAGUAGAAUGCGCAUUCUCACCUCUGCUGAGAGCCACUCCGGGACUAGAUGACGGUCUCCUCUUCUGUACUCCUCACCUGGGACAGAGAACAGGACAGCACCUAAGAAUUCAUCCCACAAAUGAUUACUUCAUGCAACGCUGAACACUCCAGCACUCCUGUGUUGCACCAACAGGACAUGCUACUUGGGUCCCACCCCAAAUGUCCAUACACAGACGAACCUUUUUCUGGGAUCAUUACUCUAGCUAUUUGCUGUGUCCUUCUUUCGCAUUUUCCCGAUAGCGAAUGAUACUGAGUGUCUGCUCAUGUACUACUGACCUUUCUAAAAAUGUUUAUUAAAAUACAAUCAACAUAUAAUGCUAUACUAGCUUCGGGCACACAACACACUGAUUCAACGAUUCUAUACACUCCUUGAUGCUCACCGUGCAAGAAAGUGUGCGCAUGCGUGGGAGGCAAAGAGUAAGAAUACUUGAGUUGAAGUCUCCUCCUUCUAGGACUGUGUGUGUGUUCCUGAAAGUUCGCAGGUGGAAACCUUAACCCCCCAAUGUGAUGGUGCUGGGAGGUGGGGCCUUUGAGAGGUAAUUAGGUCAUAAGGAUGCGGUCUUCAUGAAUGGGAUUAGUCUCUUCUUAUAAGAGUCUCUUUUUAUAAGAAAGAUGAUCUCUCUUCACCAUGUGAGGAUAGAGGGCAAAGGCAGCCAUCUAUAAACUGGGAAGAAGGCGCUCACUAAGAAUCCCGUGUUAGCACCCUGGUCUGGGACUUCCAGCCUCCAGAACUGUGGGAAGUAAACAUGUGCUGGUCGGGCCACCCGGUCUGUGGUCCUCCGUUAGGGCGGCCUGAGCUGACGGAGCCCCGCAUGUGGGACAGGGGAGGAGUGCAAGUCCUCCCUUUCUUGGAAUACCCACUGGGAUUCUGUGGUUUUAGGUCACCAAGCAGUGAGCCCUGUCCUGUUUGGAGUAUCGGGGAAUGAAAAGAGACAAUGGAAAAGAUGGCUUCAAAAGCCUUUCCCCGCCAGAGCUAAGGCUGACACACGCAUUUCUCUGCGAGGACAGGGGUAUCCCCAUCUCCAAGCCAGCCCUUCUCCCCUCAGGUCGGCGUGGGUGACUAUGGGGUGGUGUUAGAAGUGGUGCUCACUUCGUGGAGGAAGAUGGUGAGUUCUGGGGACCUGGCAUCUUUUCACAUCCGUGGAAAAAUCUCUGAGGGGCGAUCCCACUGGGCAUCCUCUCAGUCAGCCACUGUGCAUUUGCUGAGGCCCUACUGUGCGCCAGGACCCCUGUCCACAGAUGCCAAGGUUCCCAGCACAGCGUCCCUGCUUUCUGGGCGAGGGACAUCCCACCUCCCGCAGCAUGAGGACAUCCACUUCUAUGAACCUGCUCGAGACUUUACAACCAGAGGGAUGUUAGCAUCCUGGUGACAGCAGUCAGUCCGCUUCUCGCUCCCUUCCGAGCACAAAUCCACGUCCUUACGUGAACGAAAGCGCCUCUGCACAGCUCACUGGGACGCCAGAGACCCAUCCCUGUGCACACGGAAGGCUCCCAGUCUCGGUUGGGAGGCAGUGCUGCCAAGAGAAACCGAGAUGGGUGCCCUGGCACCACCUUCUGGGAAACAGAAGAAAGGAUGCUACCGACCAGCGGGUUGAACCCUGAGAAUCAGAGAAGGUGCUCCCUCCUUCCAGGGUGGGGGCAGAGAGCCUUCUCACCAAACACGGAAAAAUCACGGCAGCAUAGCAUCACGAAAAGCAAAUGACAAUUUCCCAAUAACCAACGAAUCCAAAGACAAUACUGAGAUCUGAGAAAGAAUUCAAAAGAGCUGUGGUGGGGCACCUGGGCGGCACAGGCCGUCGAGUGUCUGACUA